rnacentral:tRNA from 1 species
GAUCUUAUAUUUUAUUUAAAAAUUUUAAAUUGCAAAUUUAAAGUAGUAAUUUUUAUUACUAAGAUUU